GCAGAGUUUUUGGAGAGUUGCCGGCGCUUCUUUUUCGAUAUUACAGAUGGAGAGAAGGAAAGGUUAUCAGAUGGGACGACUGGCUCCUCCUGCCAGGCAUAAUAGGACGUGUCGCUUCGUCGUCAUAUCCGUGCAGAUAACCGCCGAUAUUCCGCAGUGGGUCUCGUCCACCGAGUCAAAACACCGACCGAAUCAAAUAAAUAUUUAACAUUUAGAAAAAUAAAAUCGAAUAAAAAACUUGUAUCUUUA